rnacentral:rRNA from 1 species
AUGUCGUGCAUGGGAGCAGUCGCCACCGUGCUGAUGGUGCUGUGCGCCGCCGUGUCCUCUGCGGCAGCGCAGCCGCGCCGCCCGCUGCCCCCGAACUCCCUCGUGAUCCACCCUGGACGGUUCGGCAAGAGGGCUCAGACUCUCACCUGCGACUUCCACCCCUGCGUGGCCACCUGCCCUAAGCGCUGUCCCGAGGAGUGCUUUGUUGUCUGCUCCUCCUGCAAGACAUACUGCUUGUGUGACUUCUACCCUGGGUUUAUCUGCGGCGACCCCCGCUUCACUGGCGCUGACGGCAAUAACUUCUACUUCCACGGCACGAAGGACCAGGAUUUCUGUGUCGUCUCUGAUGCCGACCUCCAUAUCAACGCUCACUUCAUCGGCAAACGCGACCCGUCCAUGAGCCGCGACUUCACAUGGAUCCAGGCCGUAGGUGUCCGCUUCGCCGACCACCGCCUCUACGUGGGUGCCAAGAAGACCGCCAAGUGGAACAAUGACGUCGAUCGCCUCGAGUUGGCCUUUGACGGAGCACCGAUUGACGUCGCUGGUGACAUUGGUGCACAGUGGCAGUCCACUGUUGUGCCCGGCCUGACCGUCACGAGGAUCUCCAUGACCAACAACGUUAGGGUUGAGCUUAAGGGUGUGUUCGACAUCAUGACUAAAGUGGUGCCCAUCACGAAGGAGGACUCGCGUGUUCACAACUACGGUGCGACAGAGGAUGAUAGUCUCGCACAUCUGGACAUUGGGUUUAAGUUCUAUGACCUGACUGGCGAUGUUCACGGUGUUCUCGGCCAAACCUACCGCCCCGACUAUAUAAACAAGUUUAACGUGAGUUCUAGCAUGCCGGUGAUGGGGGGUGUAGCAAGCUUUGUCUCAUCCGACAUCUUUGCCACCGACUGCAAGGUCGCUAGGUUUGGCCGUAAUGCCAACAUCUCCAUGGUCACUGCCAGGGCCAACUAA